CUACGGGGGGCAGCAGUAGGGAAUUUUCGGCAAUGGGGGAAACCCUGACCGAGCAACGCCGCGUGAAUGACGAAGUACUUCGGUAUGUAAAGUUCUUUUAUUAGGGAAGAAUGGCAGGUGGAAAAACCUGAUUGACGGUACCUAAUGAAUAAGCCCCGGCUAACUAUGUGCCAGCAGCCGCGGUAAUACAUAGGGGGCAAGCGUUAUCCGGAAUUAUUGGGCGUAAAGGGUGCGUAGGUGGUUCGUUAAGUCUUUGGUGUAAGUGCAGUGCUUAACGCUGUGAUGCUAAAGAAACUGGCGGACUUGAGUGUGGUAGAGGCAAGUGGAAUUCCAUGUGUAGCGGUAAUAUGCGUAAAUAUAUGGAGGAACACCAGUGGCGAAGGCGGCUUGCUGGGCCACAACUGACACUGAGGCACGAAAGCGUGGGGAGCAAACAGGAUUAGAUACCCUGGUAGUC
rnacentral:rRNA from 1 species